GGGCUUGACAUCCCACGAACCUGCCCGAAAGGGUUGGGUGCCCGCAAGGGAGCGUGGAGACAGGUGGUGCAUGGCUGUCGUCAGCUCGUGUCGUGAGAUGUUGGGUUAAGUCCCGCAACGAGCGCAACCCUCACCCCUUGUUGCCACCGGGUAAAGCCGAGCACUCUAGGGGAACUGCCAGCGUCAAGCUGGAGGAAGGCGAGGAUGACGUCAAGUCAUCAUGCCCCUUACGCCCUGGGCUACACACGUGCUACAAUGGCCGGCACAAAGGGAUGCAAGACCGCGAGGUGGAGCUAACCCCAAAAAACCGGUCUAAGUUCAGAUUGCAGUCUGCAACUCGACUGCAUGAAGGAGGAAUCGCUAGUAAUCGCGCAUCAGCACGGCGCGGUGAAUACGUUCCCGGGCCUUGUACACACCGCCCGUCACACCGCGAAAGCCGGCUGUACUCGAAGUCGCUGAGA
rnacentral:rRNA from 1 species